UAGAGUUAUCACAACUCCAAACCCAUGUGAACUUACCAGUGUUGCCUCGGCGGGUUCCAGCGCUCUCCGGAGUUGUUGGGCUCACAGCCCGCCGGUGGUUUUUACAAACUCUUGUAUUAAUUUGCAAUCUGAGCGUACUUUUAAAUAAGUCA
rnacentral:misc_RNA from 2 species